AAAAAUAAUUAAGAAAUUAGAUGUCCAAAAUCGAAUCAGGACCAAUUCGGUUAAGACAAACAACCUUACUGAUUAAUUAAGCAAGUCUUUUAACUUGAAGAAAUGUCUUUGUCAUUUAGAUAAGGAAUAAAAACAAAGGGGCCCCCAAAGCCGUCGUGGAGUGCCUGCCUAACUUUAUUCUCCAUCUGGGGCCUUUAUCCAUCACUUUUCUUUUUCAAGCUUGUGGGGGAGUAGUCAUUGUAAAAGGAAAAUAAAAAAAUAUCAAUUAAUAAUCCACUGAAUGAUCAUAUUUCAGGUUUAAUUUAUUGAUUGGUAUAUAAUUUUUUAUUUAAAAAGUAAAGUUUGAAUUUUAUUUUUUUAAUUUAAAAAAAAAAUCCACCAAAUGGUCUCAUAUUGAGCUAAGUUGCUUUCAAAAUAGGUCUUCUAGAAGCAUUGUAGAGGUGAAGAGGAGGGAAGUUUACCAUAUGAUUAAAAAUAAAAAUAUAAAAAAUUAAUUAAAUGUAAUAAAAAAAUAAUUAUUAAAUUUUUUAAAAAUAUAUUGUAUCUUUUGACUUUAGGCAAAUUGUGUAUGUUUUUCAUUUUUUUUAUUUUCUUUUCCCUCUAUUUUUGUAAAACAUCACUAUUAGUGCAAUUUUUUUUUUAAAUUAUGUUGGCUUUUAAUUUUGUACAAGAAAUCAAGAGCCACAAAUAUGACAAAGAAUCAAAUGGGAUUUAUUGUAAAGAGAAAUAUAAUUAUCAAUUAUUUUUCUUCAUUUAUUUUACAUUUUGGCUAGCACUUUUUCCAUCCCAUUUCUGUUUCCACCACUUCUUUAAUCUUCAUUAGCAAUGCUGCUUGUCUGCCUUUUGUGUGUGCGUUUGUGUUUUCCUACCAACAAGUACAAGGAAUAAUCUACUUGCAAUGCUUGGAAGCACCUGCCAAACAAUUUCUUGACAUGUGCAUCAGAACCAAGCAAAUGCUGUGCAUUUAAGUAAUUCAUCAAGCCAUGAGUACUGGAAUCCCCAGAGAAGAACUUACAGCUGCAUACUCAUUUUCGAUGCCCUGAUGAUGCCAUAAGAACCGCCACAGCCACAAUGAACAUAAACAACAUGCUACCGAGCAAUAUAUAUGUUCUUCGGGAUGAUCUUCGGUAUUCUCCAAACAAAAGUAUGCCCCAAAAUGUGCUCACAAGUGGAAGUGCCUGGUAUCACCGAUCAAGUCUAGAUGAAUUAAGCAAUGAAGCAUACAGUAAACAUAUGAGCAAAGGCACAUCUGUUAGCCCAGAAGCCUUGUAAAAGAAUCAAGGUAUCGAUAAAUCGUAGAUAAUUUUCUUAUGCUAUGAAUGAAGAUCGAUGUCAUGUAUUUUUAUGGUCUUAAAGAUGAACAGAAAGUACCUGAACAGCAUCUGCUGCUGCAUAUCCUGCAGCUUGACCUCCCAUAAACUGGAGACCAUUCCCAAACCCACACAGUAACCCGGCCAAAAAGGCCCAGCCUCUGCCAUUCCAGUCAUUGAGAUAAGCCUUAAAUGAUGAUCUGGGCAAGUCUAAUACAGGGCGGUAGAGGAAGGUGAUAUUUAGGAUGAGGGCAAGUACAAAACAGGAGACUGAAAAGUAAAAAAAUGCAGUAUAGACAACCAACUUGGGAACCCCUUCCUUCAAAGUGUGCCAUUGAUCAUUAGUUGCCAAGUUGAAUGCUGGUGAGAAGAGAGAAAAGCAAACACCAGCGAAGAAAGUUAUGGCCAGCCCAACGAAAGUGCUCUUCCCAAACACCUGCAAAGCGAGUCAAACCAAUUGUUAGAGAAAGAUUUAUAUAGGAUAUAAUAUAUGCAAGGCAUUAUGAUCUGUCCACUUUAGUUGCCUUAUAGUUCACUUGAAUAGCUGUCAAAUUGUAUAGCUUUCCACAUUACUACAUAAAAUUGCAAGAGUAGAGGGACAUAUUUUUUGCAGUUCUAGACCCUUGAAUGAAGAAAGCAGAACCUCCAACCUUAAUUGCUCUUCUGUUCUCUAGCUCUACAAGGAAGUCAGCAGUUCCUGCCCUUGCCUUCUCUGUAGUGCCAUUCGCAUUCUCCAGAUCCUUUAAUUCUGUUCACUAAUAAAAGCAGUCUUAGAAAACGAAGUGAGCACUAAGUAACAAGGUAGGAUACUAAAGCCUUGUACCCUUAUUUGUAGUUGCCUCUUUUGAUGCGGAGGGAUAUCCAGCCCUGCAAAAAGAACAAUUUUGUCGAGCAAAAAGAAUAUAAUUAGUAACUUGUACACAGGCACUAGAGGUUUUAAACAUGACAAAGUGUUCUAUAUGGUUCUUUCACAUUACUUAUUAUAGGAUAAAGGACAAGUGAAUUCUACUUCAGGUGAGAGUCAAGUAUUUGGAUUAAUGAAGUAUUUAAUCCUUGGAGAUGACACAGUGUAGGCAUCUGGGGAUGAAAUUGACCAGUAGAAGGCUACCAUUUGGGCAAAACAACCUAACGGAUUAAUUUAUUCUACUUGGAGCGCACUACACUGACAAUCAUCUUCUAGACUACAAAAAUCUCUAGCUAGGGCAAAACAUGAUGCACCCUAAGUUGCACAUCAUCAAUGCUUAUCCUUCGUUCUUGUGUCAAGACAGAAAACCUCAACUUAUCUCAUACUCAAAACGCCAUUAAGGGUCCUGCUCAACCUUGUCUGCGAGGUGAGCUUUUGCUGAUGCAGGACCUUUGCAAACCUUGUUAUUAAUAAAUCAUAAUGGGCAGAAGUUAGAUGGUAUAAGCUCAGGCAUACAAGCAAACGACAUGGGUUAAAAAGGGCAUUUGAAACUUGCAAAACCAAACUGGUUUUGCAAGCCAUGAUUAGUUUCACUUCUGAUUAAAUUCAUUAGCUUCCAUCAAGAACAAAAACAAAAAGAACUAAAAGAAAGCUGACUGUAUGAUUAAUCACUGGAUCCAAAAUGCUGCAAUGUUUUUGGUCAAAUAGUUAAAUCAUUUAACACAUUUAGAUAUUUAUUGAGAAAGAGGCAUACUCUCUAAGCUCGAUAAGCUUUGCUUUAUUAUCUGCAGCAUUGGACGAGUGAACGGCUGAUCCAAGAC
rnacentral:lncRNA from 1 species